UACGGGAGGCAGCAGUGGGGAAUAUUGCACAAUGGGCGAAAGCCUGAUGCAGCUAUGCCGCGUGUAUGAAGAAGGCCUUAGGGUUGUAAAGUACUUUCAUCGGGGAGGAAAAACAAAACUAAUAAUUUUAUUUCUUGACGUUACCCGAAAAAGAAGCACCGGCUAACUCCGUGCCAGCAGCCGCGGUAAUACGGAGGGUGCUAGCGUUAAUCAGAAUUACUGGGCGUAAAGAGCACGUAGGUGGUUUUUUUAAGUCAGAUGUGAAAUCCCUGGGCUUAACCUAGGAACUGCAUUUUGAAACUGAAAUACUAGAGUAUCGUAGAGGGAGGUAGAAUUCUAGGUGUAGCGGUGAAAUGCGUAGAUAUCUGGAGGAAUACCUGUGGCGAAAGCGGCCUCCUAAACGAAUACUGACACUGAGGGUGCGAAAGCGUGGGGAGCAAACAGGGAUUAAAUACC
rnacentral:rRNA from 1 species